GAUGAACGCUGGCGGCGUGCUUAACACAUGCAAGUCGAACGAACCUUCGGGUUAGUGGCGGACGGGUGAGUAACGCGUGGGAAUCUGCCCUCAGGGGGGGGAUAACGGUUGGAAACGACCGCUAAUACCCCAUAUGCCGAGAGGUGAAAUGAAUUUCGCCUGAGGAUGAGCCCGCGUCUGAUUAGCUUGUUGGUGAGGUAAUGGCUCACCAAGGCAUCGAUCAGUAGCUGGUUUGAGGGGAUGAUCAGCCACACUGGGACUGAGACACGGCCCAGACUCCUACGGGAGGCAGCAGUGGGGAAUUUUCCGCAAUGGGCGAAAGCCUGACGGAGCAACGCCGCGUGAGGGACGAAGGCCUCUGGGCUGUAAACCUCUUCUCCCAAGGAAGAGGAUAUGACGGUACUUGAGGAAUAAGCCACGGCUAAUUCCGUGCCAGCAGCCGCGGUAAUACGGGAGUGGCAAGCGUUAUCCGGAAUUAUUGGGCGUAAAGCGUCCGCAGGCGGCCUUUCAAGUCUGCUGUUAAAACGUGGAGCUUAACUCCAUCAUGGCAGUGGAAACUGAUUGGCUUGAGUAUGGUAGGGGCAGAGGGAAUUCCCGGUGUAGCGGAGAAAUGCGUAGAUAUCGGGAAGAACACCAGUGGCGAAGGUGCUCUGCUGGGCCAUUACUGACGCUCAUGGACGAAAGCCAGGGGAGCGAAAGGGAUUAGAUACCCCUGUAGUCCUGGCCGUAAACGAUG
rnacentral:rRNA from 1 species